AUUGAGAAGAAGAAGGUUCCUUCACGUUUGAUAUACAAAAGGAGCGUGGGUCGGAGGAAGUUCGUCAGUGAGGUUGAGGUGCGCAGAGAGAAAGGACCAUGACGCGAUCCGGAGGACGACUUCUUCUGGUGGAACAUCAUCUCAUCCUUGGAAAAUGAGAAUUAAUCGGAGGUUGAGAUUAGUGCACUCUUUGCAUUUUAACAAGUCAAAUUGCACUGGUCCCGGCCUCCCAUUAGUUUUUACGACCAUCAUACACAUCCUCACCAGAAGAAGAACUUAUUUCACGUGUGUUACAGUUUGAUUUGAAAGGAGAUGGACUACGGAAGUUCGGGGUGAAUGAAGUGAAAUGCUGAGUUGACACCUGGACAGACUCAGAAACCUGGACCUUUUAACUUUCUUGCUACCUCUUAAAGUUCUGUGUGCAUUGAGGAAUCCAAAAUUAUGUAUGAUGCUAUAUGCUAUGGCUUUCUUAUGUAAUCUCACAUUUUAAUUUUUAAAUGUGCUCCUCAGUCAACAGAAAGGAUGUUUUCAUAUUCUUUCUCUGCCAAAUAAAUCCCUGAAAUCUUCUUAAUGACCCAGCUCCUCCCAUUAAUUCUUACUUUUUAUCCAUGACCUAACUAACCUUAAAGUGGAGGUGUAUCUAAAGAAUUGAGAAUAAAAUCCUCAUUUGAAUGCGUAACCACAAACUUGUAUUUAAUAUUUACGAUUUAUUUUAUAUGUCGUAUUAUUAUGGUAAGUUAAAAUCAUCUUUUCUUCAUUUUACUUACGCUCACAAGACAUGCUUAUCAGUUUAUGGAUAACAUUGCAUAGAUAUAGAACAUUUUUGUUAUGUAAGGAAACCGUCGAACGGAUAUUAAUCAGCAGUAUAAUACGAACCCUCCUUCUGAUGGAGUGGAUCUGUUUUUUAAAGAAAUGGUAAAAAUAUUUUACUUCAAAAGUAGUCGGGUGGCAAGUCAUGUUCUUCAAAUUGUCGUCAAACGCUAAACCACCACCACAAGUCGUUAUUAGAUUAAAUUGUAUAUUUAGCAAAUACAUUGAGUAAUCUUAACUAUUAUUAUUUUCAAUAUGCAUCAUUCAAGUCGAUGUCAUGACCAAAAUUAUACCAGGCUUAAGGUCCCGUGAUGAAGCAAGUUAUCAUCGAAUUUCAUGAUUUUAUAUGUAUGUAUAUACUGUUGUAUAAGGAA